rnacentral:rRNA from 1 species
CUACGGGUGGCUGCAGUAGGGAAUUUUCGGCAAUGGGCGCAAGCCUGACCGAGCAACGCCGCGUGAGUGAUUAAGGCCUUCGGGUUGUAAAGCUCUGUUGUAAAGGAAGAACGAUCAGUAUAGGAAAUGAUACUGAUGUGUCGGUACUUUACCAGAAAGCCCCGGCUAACUACGUGCCAGCAGCCGCGGUAAUACGUAGGGGGCAAGCGUUAUCCGGAAUUAUUGGGCGUAAAGGGAGCGUGGGCGGUUUAUUAAGUCUAUGGUGAAAGUGCGGGGCUCAACCCCGUAUGGCCAUAGAAACUGAUAGACUAGAGUGCAGAAGAGGGUAGUUGAAUUCCAUGUGUAGCGGUAAAAUGCGUAGAUAUAUGGAGGAACACCGGUGGCGAAGGCGGCUACCUGGUCUGUUACUGACGCUGUGGCUCGAAAGCGUGGGGAGCAAAUAGGAUUAGAUACCCUUGUAGUC